CCCAUGGAAAACCUGUGGUUUAGCACUGAAUUGGAACAAACAGCAACCGAGUUGGCAACCGAGUUUUCCACGAAUUGCUGUUUGUUCUGAUUUAGAGCUAAGGGACAGGUUUUCUGGG